rnacentral:rRNA from 1 species
UACGAGGGGGGGCAAGCGUUGUUCGGAAUUACUGGGCGUAAAGGGCUCGUAGGUGGCCAACUAAGUCGGACGUGAAAUCCCUCGGCUUAACCGGGGAACUGCGUCCGAUACUGGUUGGCUUGAGUUUGGGAGAGGGAUGCGGAAUUCCAGGUGUAGCGGUGAAAUGCGUAGAGAUCGGGAGGAACAUCCGUGGCGAAGGCGGCCACCUGGGCCAACACUGACACUGAGGCACGAAAGCGUGGGGAGCAAACAGG